UACAGAGACCUCAAGCGUUAUCCGGAAUCAUUGGGCGUAAAGCGUACCGAUAGGUGGUUUUGCAAGUCAGAGGUGAAAUCUCAAGGCUCAACUUUGAGACUGUCCUUUGAAACUGCACAACUAGAGGGGCAAAGAGGAAGCUGGAACGAACGGUGUAGUAGUGAAAUGCGUUGAUAUCGUUCGGAACACCAAUAGCGUAGGCAGGCUUCUGGGUGCCACCUGACACUGCUAGGACGAAAGCGUGGGGAGCGAAUGGG
rnacentral:rRNA from 1 species